rnacentral:rRNA from 1 species
UAAAAAAAGGUAAGCUACUAAGAGCGAAUGGUGGAUGCCUUGACUGGUAAAGGCGAUGAAGGACGUACUAGACUGCGAUAAGCUACGGGGAGCUGUCAAGAAGCUUUGAUCCGUAGAUUUCCGAAUGGGGCAACCCAAUGUAUAGAGAUAUACAUUACCUAUAUAGGAGCGAACGAGGGGAAUUGAAACAUCUUAGUACCCUCAGGAAAAGAAAUCAAUAGAGAUUGCGUCAGUAGCGGCGAGCGAAAGCGCAAGAGGGCAAACCCAGUGCUUGCACUGGGGGUUGUAGGACUGCAAUGUGCAAGAGCUGAGUUUAGCAGAACAUUCUGGAAAGUAUAGCCAUAGAGGGUGAUAGUCCCGUAUGCGAAAAACAAAGCUUAGCUAGCAGUAUCCUGAGUAGGGCGGGACACGAGGAAUCCUGUCUGAAUCCGGGUCGACCACGAUCCAACCCUAAAUACUAAUACCAGAUCGAUAGUGCACAAGUACCGUGAGGGAAAGGUGAAAAGAACUGAGGUGAUCAGAGUGAAAUAGAACCUGAAACCAUUUGCUUACAAUCAUUCAGAGCACUAUGUAGCAAUACAGUGUGAUGGACUGCCUUUUGCAUAAUGAGCCUGCGAGUUGUGGUGUCUGGCAAGGUUAAGCAAACGCGAAGCCGUAGCGAAAGCGAGUCUGAAUAGGGCGCUUAGUCAGAUGCUGCAGACCCGAAACGAAGUGAUCUAUCCAUGAGCAAGUUGAAGCUAGUGUAAGAACUAGUGGAGGACUGAACCCAUAGGCGUUGAAAAGCCCCGGGAUGACUUGUGGAUAGGGGUGAAAGGCCAAUCAAACUUCGUGAUAGCUGGUUCUCUCCGAAAUAUAUUUAGGUAUAGCGUUGUGUCGUAAUAUAAGGGGGUAGAGCACUGAAUGGGCUAGGGCAUACACCAAUGUACCAAACCCUAUCAAACUCCGAAUACCUUAUAUGUAAUCACAGCAGUCAGGCGGCGAGUGAUAAAAUCCGUCGUCAAGAGGGAAACAACCCAGACUACCAGCUAAGGUCCCUAAAUCUUACUUAAGUGGAAAACGAUGUGAAGUUACUUAAACAACCAGGAGGUUGGCUUAGAAGCAGCCAUCCUUUAAAGAAAGCGUAAUAGCUCACUGGUCUAGUGAUUUUGCGCGGAAAAUAUAACGGGGCUAAAGUAAGUACCGAAGCUGUAGACUUGCACACAACUUAGAUUAUUUAAGUUUAGAAUAUGAGAAACUAAGUUAUAUGUUUAGUUAUAUUUUUACUGAUUUUUAUAGAGUAAAGAUAGAAAUAAAACUUAGUAAAAUCAGUAAAAAUAUUCUUAGGCUAAAGUUAAGUAGUUUAAGUUGUGUGCAAGUGGUAGGAGAGCGUUCUAUUUGCGUCGAAGGUAUACCGGUAAGGAGUGCUGGAGCGAAUAGAAGUGAGCAUGCAGGCAUGAGUAGCGAUAAUUAAUGUGAGAAUCAUUAACGCCGUAAACCCAAGGUUUCCUACGCGAUGCUCGUCAUCGUAGGGUUAGUCGGGUCCUAAGUCGAGUCCGAAAGGGGUAGACGAUGGCAAAUUGGUUAAUAUUCCAAUACCAACAUUAGUGUGCGAUGGAAGGACGCUUAGGGCUAAGGGGGCUAGCGG